CAGAAGCGAGGAGGGGAUUCUCGGGUCGGACAGAUACCAGCAAGGGCCACGUUACCUCUACGCAGGCUCAGUUGGGGACACGUCUAUUUCCAUCCUUUUCCGUUUAGCUUCCAGAGCUGGGAGGGGGAGAAAUAGAUCCCAAGGGUCCUGGAUUCUAAUUCUGUCACCGAGGCUACCUGGCUGCGUGACCCGAGGUAGACCCUUGAGCCUCACUUUUUUCUUCAGCUUAAAAAAGCCUCAUUUUUUCCUUCAGCCUUCAGCCUUAAAAGGGGCGCAUUACGUACCUUUGGACUUAGCUGUAACUGAUUAAGCACCAACUGAGUGCCAGCAAGGAACAUGUAAAUACCUAUGGACAAUAAGCAUUGAUCGAGCGCCUGUGGAAAAAGGCAAAUAGAGGGUCCGCCCUCUAGGGUCUGUGUACUGGGGGAGAUAGCUGUGGCACCUUAUUGAGGGAGACAAGACUUGUGUAAGGUCAGAAUCUCAAAGAAAACACUGAAGAAGGAAUGAUUUUGGAGGACCAUGGCCUUAAAGAAAAAGAAAUUACUGACAUUCCAAGAUGUUGCUGUGGAAUUCACCCAGGAGGAAUGGACCUAUUUGGAUCCUGGCCAGAAAAUCAUAUACAGGGACGUGAUGCUGGAGAACUAUGAGAACUUUGUCUCUCUUGAUAAGGUAGCUUGUUCUCAAUUAUUCAGUCAGGUUUGAAUCUAAGCUGUGAAGGAAAGUAGAUUUGCAAGAGUUGAAGGGGAAAAGCAGGGAAUGGCAGAAAUGGGGGAGCAUCCCAUGGUGACCUGCAGAGAUGGCAGGGAGAGCAUCAUGUGUGAGCCAUUGCAAGGUCAGAGAAUUCCAUCUGUCCGUGGCUGUGGGGGCUGAGGAGCUUGGCUGAAUUUGAAUUUCCUGGACAGGGAGAGAGAGUCACACAAAUACCUUUCACAUAGAGAAUACUCUCAGACCUUUGGGCAGUUUUUGAGCAGUUGUUGCUCUUCCCAGACAAAACGUCCUUUAUCCAGCUGGAAAUCAGCAGUUUCAUUCUGCAGCCCUGCAGGCUCUCCUUUCACACUCUCUGCUCAGCCAGGCUUCAGGUUCUUCCAGCAGAUGUUUCCUCAUCUGUUCUUUGUCUGCACCAAAGGCUCUGUCCCUUCCCUCCCAUUUGCUGAGGGAAAUUUCCUUCAGGGGUCAUUGAUGCUUCUCCACUGGCAUUUCCAGACAUGAACCUUUUCUGUAGAGAGAGACCAGGAUUGAGUUCUGAAGUGUCUCUGUUCUCAGCACUUCCCACUUAUUUCUCCUUGAGCAGGGCUUCCAGUAAGUAAGUUAAACAUGAUUUCUUGGCUGGAGAGACAUGAUGACCCCUGGCUAUCAAGGAAAGAAGACCCCAGAUG